GAUUUCAACUGAAAAAGUCAUCUAUAACAAGGUUGUAUAACUCAUCAAGAUCUAUAACUUGUAUUUUGGUCAUUUCUUCAUCCGAUAAAGUAAUUUGUAAGUUUGUUCACAAAAUGCACAUCUCUUAUAUAGUUUUAUAGUUUUAUAUAAGAUAUGUGCAUUUUGUGAACAAUCUUACAAAUCACUUUGUCGGAUGAAGAAAUGACCAAAAUAGAAGUUAUAGAUCUUGAUGAGUUAUACAACUUUGUUAUUGAUGACUUUUUCAAUUAAAAUC
rnacentral:pre_miRNA from 1 species